UAGGGAAUCUUCCGCAAUGGGCGAAAGCCUGACGGAGCAACGCCGCGCGAGUGAUGAAGGUCCUCGGAUCUUAAAACUCUCUUAUUAGGGAAGAACAAAUGUGUAAGUAACUAUGCACGUCUUGACGGUACCUAAUCAGAAAGCCACGGCUAACUACGUGCCAGCAGCCGCGGUAAUACGUAGGUGGCAAGCGUUAUCCGGAAUUAUUGGGCGUAAAGCGCGCGUAGGCGGUUUUUUAGGUCUGAUGUGAAAGCCCACGCCUCAACCGUGGAGGGUCAUUGGAAACUGGAAAACUUUGGUGCAGAAGAGGAAAGUGGAAUUCCAUGUGUGGCGGUGAAAUGCGCAGAGCUAUGGAGGAACACCAGUGUGGAAGGCGCCUUUCUGGUAUCUAACUGACACUGAUGUGCGAAAGCGUGGGGAUCAAACAGG
rnacentral:rRNA from 1 species